ACGGUCUGAGAAGUGAUUAUAUUUGGAUGUUCAUUUGUGUGCCUUGCUGAUCAAUUUAUGAUUUAGUAAAUUUGAGUGUAAUUAGACAAUUGUAAAAUGUAGAGUAUUAUCUGAAUAGCGAAAUGAAGAAUGGUUCACAUUUGGGAUGUGGUCGGUGAGUCGCAUGA